UAGAGUAAAGGACAGAGAGAGAGGUGUAGAGUAGAGGACAGAGAGAGAGGUGUAGAGUAAAGAGAGAGGUGUAGAGUAGAGGACAGAGAGAGAGGUGUAGAGUAGAGGACAGAGAGAGAGGUGUAGAGUAAAGAGAGAGGUGUAGAGUAGAGUAUAGAGAGAGAGGUGUAGAGUAAAGAGAGAAGUGUAGAGUUGACGACAGAGAGAGAGGUGUAGAGUAGAGGACAGAGAGAGAGGUGAAGAGUAAAGAGAGAGGUGUUGAGUAAAGGACAGAGAGAGAGGUGUAGAGUAAAGAGACUGGUGUAGAGUAAAGGAAAGAGAGAGAGAGGUGUAGAGUAGAGGACAUAGAGAGAGGUGUAGAGUAGAGGACAGAGAGAGAGGUGUAGAGUAAAGAGAGAGGUGUAGAGUAGAGGACAGAGAGAGAGGUGUAGAGUAAAGAGAGAGGUGUAGAGUAAAGGACAGAGAGAGCGGUGUAGAGUAGAGGACAGAGAGAGAGGUGUAGAUUAAAGAGAGAGGUGUAGAGUAAAGGAAAGAGAGAGGUGUAGAGUAGAGGACAUAGAGAGAGGUGUAGAGUAGAGGACAGAGAGAGAGGUGAAGAGUAAAGAGAGAGGUGUAGAGUAGAGGACAGAGAGAGAGGUGUAGAGUAAAGAGAGAGGUGUAGAGUAGAGGACAGAGAGAGAGGUGUAGAGUAGAGGACAGAGAGAGGUGUAGAGUAAAGAGAGAGGUGUAGAGUAGAGUAUAGAGAGAGAGGUGUAGAGUAAAGAGCGAGGUGUAGAGUUGACGACAGAGAGAGAGGUGUAGAGGAGAGGACAGAGAGAGAGAGGUGUAGAGUAGAGGACAGAGAGAGAGGUGUGGAGUAGAGGACAGAGAGAGAGGUGUAGAGUAGAUGACAGAGAGAGAGGUGUAGAGUAAAGAGAGAGGUGUAGAGUAGAGGACAGAGAGAGAGGUGUAGAGUAGAGGACAGAGAGAGAGGUGUAGAGUAAAGAGAGAGGUGUAGAGUAAAGGAAAGAGAGAGAGAGGUGUAGAGUAGAGGACAUAGAGAGAGGUGUAGAGUAGAGGACAGAGAGAGAGGUGUAGAGUAAAGAGAGAGGUGUAGAGUAGAGGACAGAGAGAGAGGUGUAGAGUAAAGAGAGAGGUGUAGAGUAAAGGACAGAGAGAGAGGUGUAGAGUAGAGGACAGAGAGAGAGGUGUAGAGUAAAGAGAGAGGUGUAGAGUAGAGUAUAGAGAGAGAGGUGUAGAGUAAAGAGAGAGGUGUAGAGUUGACGACAGAGAGAGAGGUGUAGAGGAGAGGACAGAGAGAGAGAGGUGUAGAGUAGAGGACAGAGAGAGGUGUGGAGUAGAGGACAGAGAGAGAGGUGUAGAGUAGAUGACAGAGAGAGAGGUGUAGAGUAAAGAGAGAGGUGUAGAGUAGAGGACAGAGAGAGAGGUGUAGAGUAGAGGACAGAGAGAGAGGUGUAGAGUAAAGAGAGAGGUGUAGAGUAGAGUAUAGAGAGAGAGGUGUAGAGUAAAGAGCGAGGUGUAGAGUUGACGACAGAGAGAGAGGUGUAGAGGAGAGGACAGAGAGAGAGAGGUGUAGAG